rnacentral:rRNA from 1 species
UACAGAGGUCUCAAGCGUUGUUCGGAUUCAUUGGGCGUAAAGGGUGUGUAGGUGGCGCCGUAAGUCGGGGUGUGAAAUUUCGGAGCUUAACUCCGAAACUGCAUUCGAUACUGCGGUGCUUGAGGACUGGAGAGGAGACUGGAAUUCAUGGUGUAGCAGUGAAAUGCGUAGAGAUCAUGAGGAAGACCAGUGGCGAAGGCGGGUCUCUGGACAGCUCCUGACACUGAGACACGAAGGCCAGGGGAGCAAACGGG